GGAGGGAUGGCCGAGAGGAUUAAGGCGUCGGAUUGCUAAUCCGUUGUACGAUGAUCCAUUCGUACCGAGGGUUCGAAUCCCUCUCUCUCCU
rnacentral:tRNA from 2 species